GUCCACGUAGCUCAGCUGGAUAGAGCGCUAGCCUCCUAAGCCAGAGGUCGGAGGUUCGAAUCCUCUCGUGGACG
rnacentral:tRNA from 1 species